rnacentral:rRNA from 1 species
UACGAAGGUGGCUAGCGUUACUCGGAAUUACUGGGCGUAAAGCGAGUGUAGGUGGAAUAACAAGUCAGAGGUGAAAGCCCAGAGCUUAACUUUGGAAUUGCCUUUGAAACUGUUAUUCUUGAGAUCGGUAGGGGAUAGUGGAAUUCCUAGUGUAGAGGUGAAAUUCGUAGAUAUUAGGAGGAACACCGGCGGCGAAGGCGACUGUCUGGACCGAUUCUGACACUGAGACUCGAAAGCGUGGGGAGCAAACAGG